GAUCCUGGCUCAGGAUGAACGCUAGCGGCAGGCUUAACACAUGCAAGUCGAGGGGCAGCAUAANGGAUAGCAAUAUCUAUGGUGGCGACCGGCGCACGGGUGCGUAACGCGUAUGCAACCUACCCUUUAACAGGGGGGAUAACACCUGAGAAAAUUGGUACUAAUACCCCCAUAAUAUUCAUAGAAGGCAUCUUUUAUGGUUGAAAAUCCGAUGGUUAGAGAUGGGCAUGCGUUGUAUUAG
rnacentral:rRNA from 1 species